CCCAUCAAUCGCUCAGUAGUCAGUGUAGAUUCUGUCUUUAAAAUCAGCAGCUACAUCUGGCUACUGGGUCUCUGAUGACAUCU
rfam:Pygoscelis adeliae contig37532, whole genome shotgun sequence.